CCUACGGGAGGCAGCAGUAAGGAAUCUUCCACAAUGGGCGAAAGCCUGAUGGAGCAACGCCGCGUGCAGGAUGAAGGCCCUCGGGUCGUAAACUGCUUUUAUAAGUGAAGAAUAUGACGGUAACUUAUGAAUAAGGAUCGGCUAAUUACGUGCCAGCAGCCGCGGUAAU
rnacentral:rRNA from 1 species